rnacentral:rRNA from 1 species
GAUCCUGGCUCAGGAUGAACGCUAGCUACAGGCUUAACACAUGCAAGUCGAGGGGCAUCAGGAAGAAAGCUUGCUUUCUUUGCUGGCGACCGGCGCACGGGUGAGUAACACGUAUCCAACCUGCCCUUUACUCGGGGAUAGCCUUUCGAAAGAAAGAUUAAUACCCGAUAGUAUAAUGAUUCCGCAUGGUUUCCUUAUUAAAGGAUUCCGGUAAAGGAUGGGGAUGCGUUCCAUUAGGUUGUUGGUGAGGUAACGGCU